UGUAUAUAUAUCUAAUAGAAAACGCCCUUAGAAUUUUAAUCUCACCCUCUUCCUCUCCCUCUGCCUCUCGCUUGCCGACCUUCUCUUCCUACCCUUUUGCUUCCUCCCUUGACUUGGAGAAGAUGACCGUCACUGCAAACUUACCGAUCACCAAACCUCCGCCGAAUCUGGGGUACUGGAAUCGCCGUGUCUCGUAUCCCACGUCUUGCCAAGAUCCUAUAAUCGGCGAGCUCGGUGGUCCACGAAGUGCUGGGUCGGCGAGCACAGGACAUGGAUCAGCCUAUAAUCGACUACAUCAUCAAUGUCCUCGCCGAAGAAGGCUUCGAUUUCGGGUCCACGGCGAGGGGGCUUUCGAAGGCCCUCCAAUUCUUCCGCGCAUUGGCAAGAAAGGAAAGGUAAGACGGGUCUGGUAAUGCUUCUUGUCGGAGCUGAAUGCGUCACCAAAUUCUCUGAAUGUCGUUCUGAAUGUCUGCCAAAUGCACUGCAAUACCAUUUUUUUCAAGUGAUCAGUUCUGCUUCUUCCAAUGAGUGAACUGCUAAAGCAGCUGUUGCAAUUGCUGUGGCAAAGGUCAUCACUAUCUUCUUGUUCAUCUCCUCCAUGGCCGUAAUAUUUCGUUCUAAUAAAUCAGAUGUUGAUAUUCCUGUAAACAUUGGUUCAUAAUAGCAGCAGCAGAAACAAAACAGACUUUAAAGAAACAAAGUUUCACCUUGGAAACAAAUUCCAGCUGUCAUUUCGGCCCGGUCGAUACAAGAAGCCCAUGUUUCAGUCCAAGGGAUGGCGUGAUUUUGUUAAGGCAAUUAAUCAUAAAGUUGGAGACGCCUUCCAUUUCUAGGAGGAAGAUGGAACUUUUGGAAUUCAAGUUCUCAAAGACUACUUGGAUAGUUCCAAACCCGUCAAGGGUAAUUAUUUCUCAGAUAGGUACAAUAGUAUUGUACGGUUCCUGUACUUCCUCAUCAGUAAUGUUUCCAUCUUCAUUUGCAAGUAGGGGUGGGCAUGGAUUGGGUUGGUUCGGUUUUGGACCGAAAUAUAAUCCAAUCCAUACUUAUCGGUUUUUCUAAUAUGUAAUCUAAACGAAACAAUUAAAAUGUUAAAUCCAAACCAAACCAAAUCAUAUAUUAUCGGUUUGAUUUGUAUUGGUUGAUCGGUUUAAAACUUACUAAUUUAUAAAUAUAUAACACAAAUAAAAAAAUUUUCAAAUAUAAAAUAUAACUAAUAAAUUAUAAUUAUCCAAACAUAAAAUACAAUUAGAAUAAUAUAACAUAGUCUAUAAUGGAAAAUAAAGAAGAAAAUGUAGCAAAUGAUAUACAUCAUGCACUUAUUACAUAGUAAGCAUUAAUGUCAUCAUUCCACUCCUACAAAAUCAAAUUAAAAUUAUUAGAACAAAUAAUGUAAAAUAAUACAUUCAUCAAAAUUCAUUCACUUAAGAAUCGAUUUGGGAUUUGCGAAUGUAAAAAAAUAUAUAUAUUAAAAAUUAAUAUAUAAAAAUAGAAAAAAAAAAUUAAAAAUUAAUAUAUAAAAAUGAAAAAAAAAUAUUAAAAUUUAUAUAUAAAAAUGAAAAAAUAAAAAAUAUAUAUAAUUUUUUAAUUAUAUAAUAUAUUAUUUGGAUUGGAUUGGAUUUAUAUUUUCAAUCCAUAACCAAUCCAAUUCAAUCCAAUUGAUGUAAAAAUCCAAUCCAAACCAUUAAAAAUGGAUUGGAUUGGAUGGGUUGAACGGAUUGGAUUAGAUUGGAUUUUGCCCAUCUCUAUUUGCAAGUUGCAACUGUACUCAAUAAGCCAUCUCUAUAGCUAUAUAUAUAUAUAGAGAGAGAGAGAGAGAGAGAGAGAGAGAGAGAGAGAAUGAGUGGUGCUAGCAUCAGGUCGGUCCUUAUGGUAAUAUACACGGACCAAAAAAGUGGAAAAAAAGCUGGCCUUUAGAUUAAAAAUGGAUUGCUCAGAUCACACCUUCAAUUUCCCUCUCAAAAAUGCUCCCUCGCAUUCCUUCCCUUCCUCUUCUCCUCCUCUUCCACCUUUUUAGUAUUACUGGUUUUAUAGCUGACAAUGAUGAUGAUAAUGGGUGGCGGUGACAGUGAGAUUCUUGAAUUAGAGAAUGAGAAUUUGGGAAGUGUUCUAUACAUAUAUAUUGGAAGUGUUCCAUAAUCCAGUAGAAGCUUCUCCACAUUGUUUUUAAUCCCAACACCCACAAACGCACAACUUCGAUUCCCAAGAAAAUUAAUGAGUGAGUUUGGAAUCGAAGGAUCUGGAAGAUGAUGCAGCGAUCGGCGAUGCAGAGCUGAUGGGUGGGUAUGGGGUUGUCAAUCUGGGGGUUGAAAUCGGAACGCCACUCAAUGUCGAGGCCAACCAUGAGCGGGGUAGUGUUGUUGUCAUUGUUGGUGUUGUUGUUGUUGUUGUUGUGUGUGGUAGUGGGGUGGUGGUGGUGGAGAUGAAGAGUGUGUGAGAUCCAAGAAUCCACCAUGGAAGGAGUGUGGGUGGAUUUUGUGGGUGUCCAAAGAGACGUCGUAUAGAUUGUGGGUGAUAUGAGCCAUCCGUUUUUAAUUUAAAGGCCAGCUUUUUUUUCACGUUUUUGGACCGUGUAUAUUGCCAUCAGGACCGACUUGAUGCUAGCCUCACAUAUAUUUAUACAGCUAGAGAAAUAUUGGGCAAUGUUUGUAAGCUUUUGCUUUGGUUGUUUCCCUGCUGUUUAAUUUGUCACAUUCCGCUUUGGUAUUAUGUAUGUUAUAAUCACGUUUGAAUGUUCAUUUUAGUUAAUUUGGUGCUGUCUUGCUGCCUCUGUGUUAUGCUUUAAACAAACAUUGUUCUCUCUCACUCUCUCAAUUUUCUUUAUCUCCUCAUAAGUUAAUUUAACUCUUUAACUUUCUAGGAAAAUAUAUAUUUUUUAAUGUUGAUUAUCUGAUGAAACCAAAAUCAAUUAUAACUAUAACAUCUUCUUAACAGUUCUACCUUUUUUUAUUAUUUAUUUUUUCCUAUAGAUUGGUUAAAAGUUUUGAUGAAUUUCAUGCUGUUAGACAAAAAUAUAUAAAAAAUGAUAGCCCACCACUUUACAUAAAUUUAAAUGUUUACAAGAAGUAGCAAUUUAAUUUGGUAUCGAAAGAUUAAAAAAAAAAAAAAAUCUGAUUUAAACUUUAAUAACUUCAACCACACCAAAAAAAAAAAAAGAAAAAAAGAAAACACACAUAAUUAAAAUGCAUAGCGUAAAAGAGAUGGCGAUGUGAAGGGAAGACCCGAAGGCAGAGCCCAAAAAAAGGCAACCAUAUAAAAAGAAAUGUUAGGAAAAAAAUUAAAAAAAAUUAAUAAUUCAUCUUUUAUAAGCUUAGAUUUUCCCCAGAAAAAAAAAAUAAUAAUAAGAAAAUAAAAAAAUAAGCAACAAUAAUAGAAAAUAAAAAAAUAUUGAAAAAGGUUUUGACAAAAUAGAUAGUGCUGAUUCAUACUCAAUGUCUGACUAAUUGCAGAAAGCCAGGUCACGGGACCUUAUGAUUUAAAUAUUGAUUUAAUUGACCGAAUACUAAUGUUAUGGUAAAUAUAAAAAAAUAAAAAAAAUAAAAAAAUAAAAAAAGAUAGCCUUUUCCUUUUUUUUGAUUGGGAGUUAUUCUUCUCAAUUAAAACGUAAAUUUUCAUAUGAGUUUUACUUGCUCUUUAAUUUUAUAUAUAUGAUUCAAUCCAAUUAUCAAAAUUUGUUAAAAAUGGACUCUAAUAUACAUUGCUUUAUCAUAAAAGUUGAUUCAAAAAAUAUGAAGAAACUUAUUCCAUCAAAAAGAAACUAUAAACAAAUAUAAAAACUAAAAAAUAAAAAAAUGGACAGCCCUGAAUUCAUGAAGUCAUAUUCUUUACAUGUCCUCUGUUUAUCAUUGAGUUUGUAUAGUGUCAUAAAAAUGGAGACCAACUGUCAAUAACAAUCAUAUAUCUUGGUUUUGAUUAAUAAUGGGUAUUUUGUUUAAUUAAGGCGUUCAUUGCAAUCAUUAUUCGUACUUUAGUUUAUUGGUUAUGCAGUAACUGGCAUUUUAAUUCGCGGGAGAUAAAUGUCUUGCCCUGUAUUUUACUUUAUCGACUAACUGGUCUAAAGUAUAUUUAGAUAAUUUUGAUAUGUCAAUUGGAAAUAUAUUUCUUUUUUGUUUUUAUUCAUUAUUGGAAUGAAUAGCAAUAUGUUGCCAUCAUGAAAAAAUAAUUAAAAACAACAUACCAUAUAUUCCCCACUAACUCUUAUUUUCAAACUCAUCGAUAUGAAACCAUAUGUAAACAAAGUAUCAGAGUUCAAACUUGAUUUGACCAUAGAAGAUCAAACACAAAUAAAAUAAAUCAAAUUAUUAGGGCUUGAAUUAUAUCCAUAGUUGCACUUUAGUCUUUAUUUAAUUUUUUUUUUAUUUUUAUUGACACUUUGGUCUGUAAACUUCAAUUUUUAGUGUAUUUUGGUUCUUGAACUAUUUUUGUAUACUUUUUAGCAAUUUUAAAACAUGCAAUAUACUUUUUGUAACAUAAAGGAGUCUCAUAAAAUUGUAUGCUUGUGACAUGUAAUUUUGUUGAUUUCUUGUUUUAGUAAAUGUAUUGCAUGUUUUACGGGAAAAAAAAAAAAAGUAUACUAUAUGUCUUAAAAUGGCUAAAAAUUGGAAUCAAAAUAGUUUAAAGAUCAAAUGCUCCAAAAAAUAAAGUUUAGGAAAAUAAGUUCAAAACAAACAUAGAACUAUGAACAUUGUUUACAUGCUAACUUGGAACAUCGUUGGAAAGGGUUUUUGAAUUACCAAAAGUGGGCUUGAUAUGGAGCCUUUCAUUUACAAAAUGGGUUUCAUUAAAGAUACUUGAAAAUUUUGGAUCCAAUUAUCUUAUAAAAAUUUGGGCUAUAAACAAAAAAUUAAAAGGGGAAUUUGGCCCAAUGUCCUCUUUAGAAGGGCUAUGGCGAUAUAUACCUUUGUAUUGGUAAACUUUUUUGUUUUACUUUUUAAUAUCCAUUACACCCUUAAAAAAAUUUUAAAAAACCUAAAUGUCUUUUAGUUUAGAUCUAAUACAAGGAAACCUUUUGUGGCUCUUCCAAUUCGUCUUCUGGGUUCUCAUCCAAAACCAAUGAUGAGAUUAGAAAGAGGACCAAAUCCAAGGACAACAAGUUUGAGUUCGAUGAAAGCAAUGCUCAGAUCUUCAGCCUAAUGCUCGACGAUGCGCAUCUUCAAUCUGGCCUUUAUUUCUACAAGUAUCGGAAUGCUUUUACCUUCUCGGUUGUGGUUAUUUCUUCUUUGCUGCUUCAGAAAUACUUGAAUGGUGGAUCGGAAGAAUUUGGGUCUUUAGCAAAUGGCGGUUUUGCUCCGAUUCUACUAGGAUUUGUGGGUGCUUUUAAGUUUUUGACAUUGCUCGCCAAGGUUUCUUUUAAAAAAUCUACAUCGAGGAGGUUGGAGAAGCAAUUGAAUGUUCUCUUUGGGCUUUGGGAGCCAUAGCUGGGAAUAUGGUUUGCUUCCUAAUUAGUCCUCUGGUUCUGGAUUUCAAUUUUGGUCCACUUGAUGGUUUUGGUAGAUCUUCAAUUGCUGUUUUAAUGGGUUGCUUAGUUGGUUUUCUAUUUAUGCUUGCAACGAAGAGUGCCAAGGCGUUUUGGCUUAGAACUGAUCAGUCCAAGUCUAAUUUGGCAAUGAUUUCAUGCGGAUGGUUUGCUAGACUAAUUCUAUAUUCACCCAAAUUCCCCGCUUGCUUGUGACUUUCUCUUUCUCAUCUGUUCCUUACCACUUUUCCACUCUUCCAAACAGAAAAGAAAGGAAAAAAAAUGGAGUGUCAAACUAGCUGGCUGAAGAUUCAGUUCUUAGUCAAAUGCCAAUUGCACAACAACCACCAAUUACUCCACCAUCUCCAUUCUCAUGCUUUUCCUUUUCAUGAAACUCAAACCCUAGCCCAACGCCAAUGUCCCGCUUCUGGUUCUUCUUCCUCAUUCUCCAUGCAUUGUUACUUCUAUUCUUGCUGGUCCCAUCGUUCUCCCAGAAAAACGGCAACGUAUCAUGCCUUCUCAACUUCACCAUCAUCCGGAAGCUGGCUUCAAACGCUGGCCACCCCAAUUUCGAUGUCCCAACCACUUGCAAAUAUGUGAUUCAAAGCUUAAGGCUUGUCAAGUCUGUCUAUCUCCAGGGCACAAACAACUUUGCUCCUCCACUGAACUCCUCCGAGUCGUGUUGGUCUGUCUUCCAGCUCAUACUCAACCAUUACGGUUGGAAUUUUGAUAUUCGAUCGUCGUGCGGAUUCCAGACCAGCUGGAUCUCCGAGGGCUGUAUGAACAUCACCAACAGGACGGAAUUCAAGCACGUAAUUCCCAAAUCCAUGAUCGAUACUGUCAUCCAGAACUGUAACCAGUCGCUCGCUAAUGGCUUUCCUUGUGCUUCAUGCACUACAAGCUUGUCCAACCUUCAGGCUUUGUAUUUGACCGGACCUUUCGUCGAAAACGUAUCGGAUUGCAUGGCAUUACCUUCAAUUUAUGCUGGGGCUUUCACGAAUUAUCUUGGACCCACAUAUUUAGGGACCACUAAGUAUUUGUACUCGCUUCGAUUCACGUCCAAAAGCUCUAGUAAGAAUGAAAAGACUAUGAUUGUGGUCGUUGUGAUUUGUUGUGUUUCUGUAUUGUUGCUCGUAAUUGAUGGGUUCUGGUGGUAGAAGAAACGUCAGCGCUCCGAGAUGAAGAAGAGGAGACUGGGUAGUAGAGAGGUGGGAUUCGGUUUUGCCUUAGAGUCCAUUAGUGGACGCACCAAUUUGGUUAAAUUCUCAUUCGAUGAGAUUAAGAAAGCGACUAGAAAUUUUUCUAGUGAUUAUAUCAUUGGUAGGGGAGGGUAUGGGAAUAUGUAUAAAGGGGUACUGGCAGAUGGUUCCGAAGUAGCUUUGAAGAGAUUCAACAAUUGUUCUGCUGCUGGGGAUGCCAGUUUCGCUCAUGAGGUUGAGGUAAUUGCCAGUGUUAGACAUGUCAAUCUUGUUGCUUUGAGAAGUUAUUGUAUUGCCACAAUUCCAAUGGAAGGUCACCAGAGAAUCAUUGUGUGCGAUUUGAUGAAGAAUGGUAGUCUUCACGACUAUAUAUUUGGUUAUAAGGAGAAGAAACUUAGUUGGCCAAUUCGUUAAAAGAUUGCACUGGGGACCGCAAGAGGAUUGGCUUAUUUGCAUUAUGGGGCUCAACCUGGAAUUAUCCACAGAGACAUAAAAGCUAAUAAUAUACUUUUGGAUGAGAUGUUUGAAGCCAAGGCGGCGGAUUUUGGACUUGCAAAGUUCACACCUGAGGGAAUGACACAUUUGAGCACUAGCAUUGCUUGAACUAUGGGAUAUGUUGCCCCAGAGUACGCCUUGUAUGGACAGUUGACAGAGAGAAGUGAUGUGUAUAGCUUUGGUGUUGUGCUUCUUGAGCUUCUAAAUGGGAAGAAAGCACUUCUUGUUGGUAAUGAGGAUCAACUGUGAGAUCCCACAUCGGUUGGAAAGGGGAACGAAGCAUGGCUUAUAAGCAUGUGGAUACCUCUCUUUUGUAGACACGUUUUAAACCCUUGAGCGCUGGGUUGUAAGAGGAUUCCCCAGGCCCAAAGAGGACAAUAUAUGCAUGCGAGUGAUCUAGGCUAGGCUGUUACAGCUGGUAUCAGAGCCAGUACCCGGAUCGGUGUGCCAGUGAGGAUGCUAGGCCCCAAGGGGGGAGGAUCGUGAGAUUCCACAUCGGUUGGAAAAGGGAACGAAGCAUGGCUUAUAAGCGUGUGGAUACCUCUCCCUUGUAGUCGCGUUUUAAACCCUUGAGGGCUGGGUUGUAAGAGGAUUCCCCAAGCCCAAAUAGGACAAUAUCUGCAUGCGGGUGAUCUGGACUGGGCUGUUACAUCAACCCUCCCUUAUGACUAAUUGGGCUUGGUCAUUAGUGCGCGAUGGCAAAGCUUUAGAUGUCAUUGAAGAUGAUAUGCCAGACAAAGGUCCACCUCAGGUUUUAGAGAAGUAUGUAUUAGUUGCAGUUCUUUAUUCUCAUCCGCAGUUGUAUGCUAGGCCAACAAUGGAUCAGGCUGUGAAAAUGUUGGAAAUGGACAUGUCAAUUCCCUCCACUCCAAAACGGCCCGUUCCUCUGGUAGCUGAGCUUAGUGAUGUUGAAAGAUCUGUGAGCACUAGCUGCUCGGGUACGCUCGUGAGUCCUAGAAGUUAUAGUUCAUAUACAUAUGAAAGUGAUCGCCCUUUGGAACUCGAGGAAGAAAGACAAACUUCAAGUUCCCGAGUAGAAGAGCUGUCAUAGUCGGAAGGGCGAGUUCGGGCUCCAAUAUUAGAAGUCGAGGUUUGUAUAACUUGACAUGAGAGUUAAAUUGGUGGUGUUUGUUUUCACUCUCCGCUAAUUUGUAUGCUUACCCUUCGUUUGUUUCUUGGCUUACACUGCAGGGUUCUUUGAGUCUGGACUUUGCUUCUUUCAUUGUAAAGAUUAAGAUAGAUGCAUUAUAGAAUUGAUUCUUUGAAUUGAAAUAGUGUGAACUGGGUAUAGAAUUUUUGCUAUUAGUUGAGAGUCAUUUCUUACUUAAUGAAACCAUUUUGUGUUUGGAAGUUUGAUGAUUUGCAAAUGCAAAGAUGCUAACAUAGUAGUUGUACCAUAGUUCAUACCCUAUUCCAGAUAAUAGGGUUGUAUGUAAUAAUUAUAUGCUACAUAUUCUUUUCUGUUUUUGUAAUCUUCAUGGCUCUUCA